rnacentral:sRNA from 1 species
UCUGAAUGUUCAUUGUUAUGAGGACUUUGUCCCAUGAAAUGACAGCACUUCAAAGAUCUCAUCUGUACAUGCUGGCUCUUACAGUCUUUCCAGCUCAUCAUUGCUGAUGUUCCUUAAUACUUGGAGAAGCUGGAAUGCCCUUAUAUAAGCAAGACCCUACCUCAUGAAUAUGCAAACCAUGCGAGUCUCUGAUGAUAAAUACAGUAUAGCCACACCAAACAUCAUAUGAGCCAUGUUUUCUCUACAGUCACUGAAUCACAACAUCCUCAUCAUGAAAUGCAGCUGGAUCAUCCUCUUCUUGAUGGCACUAGCUACAGGGAUCUACUCAGAAGUCCAGUUGCAACAGUCUGGGCCUGAGAUUGUGAGGCCUGGGACCUCAGUCAAAUUGUCCUGAAAGGCUUCUGGCUACAGCAUUACAGAAUACUAUAUAGAGUGGGUGAAGCAGAGGCCUGAACAAGGCCUGGAAUGGAUUGGAAUGAUUGAUCCUGAGGAUGGUGAAACUAAAUAUGCUCAGAAGUUCCAAAGCAAGGCCACACUGACUGCAGAUACAUCCUCCAACACAGCCUACAUGGAGCUCAGCAGACUGAUAUCUGAGGACACUGCAAUCUAUUUUUGUGCUAGACACAGUGUUGCAACCACACCCUUAGUAUGGUAGAAAAAGAAGAGGAGCAGGAAGCUUCCAUAGGACUGAAAUAAAAGACAAUAUUACCCUGAAGAUUUGUCCAGAAAUUGUCAUUCUGAGUGUCCAUGUGUCUGCCUCAUCCUCACAGUUAUGGCCUGUCCUGUGACUGAUUAAUGGUCAAUUUGGAGAAGAUAC